rnacentral:rRNA from 1 species
GAGCAACAGGGAUUGCCCUAGUAACGGCGAGUGAAGCGGCAAGAGCUCAAAUUUGAAAUCUGGCUCCUUUGGAGUCCGAGUUGUAAUUUGUAGAGGGUGCUUUGGUGUCGGCUAUGGCCUAAGUUCCUUGGAACAGGACGUCACAGAGGGUGAGAACCCCGUAUGUGGCUGCUAGCCUUCACCAUGUAAAGCCCCUUCGACGAGUCGAGUUGUUUGGGAAUGCAGCUCUAAAUGGGAGGUAAAUUUCUUCUAAAGCUAAAUAUUGGCCAGAGACCGAUAGCGCACAAGUAGAGUGAUCGAAAGAUGAAAAGCACUUUGGAAAGAGAGUCAAAAAGCACGUGAAAUUGUUGAAAGGGAAGCGCUUGCAGCCAGACUUGCUCGUAGUUGCUCAUCCGAGCUUUUGCUCGGUGCACUCUUCUGCGAGCAGGCCAGCAUCAGUCCGGGCGGUUGGAUAAAGGCUCUGGGAAUGUAGCUCUCUUCGGGGAGUGUUAUAGCCCAGGGUGUCAUGCAACCAGUCUGGACUGAGGUCCGCGCAUCUGCUAGGAUGCUGGCGUAAUGGCUGUAAGCGGCCCGUCUUGAAACACGGACCAAGGAGUCUAACAUCUAUGCGAGUGUUUGGGUGUCAAGCCCGGGCGCGCAAUGAAAGUGAACGGAGGUGGGAACCCUUCGGGGCGCACCAUCGACCGAUCCUGAUGUCUUCGGAUGGAUUUGAGUAAGAGCAUAGCUGUUGGGACCCGAAAGAUGGUGAACUAUGCCUGAAUAGGGUGAAGCCAGAGGAAACUCUGGUGGAGGCUCGCAGCGGUUCUGACGUGCAAAUCGAUCGUCAAAUUUGGGCAUAGGGGCGAAAGACUAAUCGAACUAUCUAGUAGCUGGUUCUGCGA